UAGUUUGAUCAUGUCUCAGAUUGAACGCUGGCGGCAGGCCUAACACAUGCAAGUCGAGCGGAAACGACAUUAUUGAAUCUUCGGAGGAUUUAAUGGGCGUCGAGCGGCGGACGGGUGAGUAAUGCCUAGGAAAUUGCCCUGAUGUGGGGGAUAACCAUUGGAAACGAUGGCUAAUACCGCAUAAUGCCUACGGGCCAAAGAGGGGGAUCUUCGGACCUCUCGCGUCAAGAUAUGCCUAGGUGGGAUUAGCUAGUUGGUGAGGUAAUGGCUCACCAAGGCGACGAUCCCUAGCUGGUCUGAGAGGAUGAUCAGCCACACUGGAACUGAGACACGGUCCAGACUCCUACGGGAGGCAGCAGUGGGGAAUAUUGCACAAUGGGCGAAAGCCUGAUGCAGCCAUGCCGCGUGUGUGAAGAAGGCCUUCGGGUUGUAAAGCACUUUCACUGGCGAGGAAGGGUAUAUUGUUAAUACCAAUUUAUUUUGACGUUAACCAGAGAAGAAGCACCGGCUAACUCCGUGCCAACAGCCGCGGUAAUACGGAGGGUGCGAGCGUUAAUCGGAAUUACUGGGCGUAAAGCGCAUGCAGGUGGUUUGUUAAGCAAGAUGUGAAAGCCCGAGGCUCAACCUCGGAACAGCAUUUUGAACUGGCGGACUAGAGUACUGUAGAGGGGGGUAGAAUUUCA
rnacentral:rRNA from 1 species